AUCCGCUGGCUCAUCCCGGGGCAGGGACCACGAGCACCAGGACUAGAGUGUGUGUGUGUGUGUGAUCCUGUGCAGCGACAGCAUCCGCUGGCUCAUCCCGGGGCAGGACCACGAGCACCAGGACUAGAGUGUGUGUGUGUGUGUGUGCGUGUGUGAGCGCCUGCCUUGCAGAAUAAAUUAAGUGUGUGAAGGGA